CCUACGGGUGGCAGCAGUGGGGAAUAUUGCACAAUGGGGGAAACCCUGAUGCAGCGACGCCGCGUGAGUGAAGAAGUAUUUCUGUACGUAAAGCCCUAUCAGCAGGGAAGAAAAUUACGGUACCUGACUAAGAAGCCCCGGCUAACUACGUGCCAGCAGCCGUGGUACUACGUAGGGGGCCAGCGUUAUCCGGAUUUACUGGGUGUAAUGGGAGCGUAGACGGCAGCGCAAGUCUGGAGUGAAAUCCCAUGGCUUAACCAUGGAACUGCUUUGGAAACUGUGUAGCUAGAGUGCAGGAGAGGUAAGCGGAAUGCCUGGUGUAGCGGUGAAAUGCGUAGAUAUUAGGAGGAACACCGGUGGCGAAGGCGGCUUACUGGACUGUAACUGACGUUGAGGCUCGAAAGCGUGGGGAGCAAACAGGAUUAGAUACCCGAGUAGUC
rnacentral:rRNA from 1 species